AGUGAACGCUGGCGGUAUGCCUAACACAUGCAAGUCGAACGACCGCACAAUAAGCGUUUUCCCUUACGGUUAGCGAGUGGCGGACGGGUGAGAAAUGCAUCGGCAUCCUCUUUUUCGUGGAGGAUAACGUAGGAAAACUUAUGCUAACACCGCAUACAUCCAACGGCUGAAAUCAAUGGUUCUACGCACCUUUCCUGAUUGUAUUAGCCGAUGUCGGAUUACCUAGUUGGCUGGGUAAGGGCCCACCAAGGCGACGAUCCGUAGCUGGUCUGAGAGGAUGAUCAGCCACACUGGAACUGAGACACGGUCCAGACUCCUACGGGAGGCAGCAGUGGGGAAUAUUGGACAAUGGGCGCAAGCCUGAUCCAGCCAUACCGCGUGAGUGAAGAAGGCCUUCGGGUUGUAAAGCCCUUUUGUUGGGAAAGAAAAACAGCAGGUUAAUCCCCCGCUGUUCUGACGGUACCCAAAGAAUAAGCACCGGCUAACUUCGUG
rnacentral:rRNA from 1 species